AGAGUUGUGGCUCAGUGGUAGAGCACUUGCCUGGCAUGUAUGAGGCCCUGGGUUCGAUCCUCAGCACCUCAU
rnacentral:tRNA from 1 species